AGUGAACGCUGGCGGCGUGCUUAACACAUGCAAGUCGAACGAGAACGGGUUAUAGCUUGCUAUAAUUGUCAGCUAAGUGGCGCACGGGUGAGUAAUGUAUAGGUAAUAUGCCUCUUACUAAGGGAUAACAAAUGGAAACGUUUGCUAAUACCUUAUACUCCUUUUAAACAGAAGUUUAGAAGGGAAAGAUUUAUUGGUAAGAGAUUAGCCUGUAUUGUAUCAGUUAGUUGGUGGGGUAAUGGCUUACCAAGACUAUGACACAUAACUGGUUUGAGAGGAUGAUCAGUCACACUGGAACUGAGACACGGUCCAGACUCCUACGGGAGGCAGCAGUGGGGAAUAUUGCACAAUGGACGAAAGUCUGAUGCAGCAACGCCGCGUGGAGGAUGACACAUUUCGGUGCGUAAACUCCUUUUAUAUGAGAAGAUAAUGACGGUAUUAUAUGAAUAAGCACCGGCUAACUCCGUGCCAGCCGCCGCAGUAA
rnacentral:rRNA from 1 species